GGCGUUAAUGCUGGGUGCUGUCAGCUGAUGGCUGGGGAAUUGUUGGUACUAAGAUACAGGGGGCUUCUGUGCCCCUGGCUGGUCUGAGUGAAUGGAAGUCAUUACUCCACAAGGAGACCCAUCUGAAGCUUCCUAUUUACCACUGCAGGGAGAGUUGUCUAAUGGGCAGAACAACCGAGUGUACAGAGGACCUGGCCUUUGUCUUGACUCUGCUACUUCAGUUUUGGAUGCAGACCACUGGUUCCAUAUAUGAUUGGAAAAACUCAAGAGCUAGUCAUCUAUUCUGAACCCCAUGCUGACACAAACCUACAAGCCAAGGGAGCCAGUAUUUGGCCAUCCGUCCAUCCAUUUGCAUGUCCCAGGGAUGCACAAACAAGGAGCAGUUCAGCCUUUCAGCUGCCUUCAAAGAAGCAAUGGAAGAGAGGUUAUUUGGAUGAGCCCGGAAAUACCAGCUUCCUGCUAAUGUGUGUGGAAGACAGUGGAGGAUAGCCCAAGUGCUUGAGUUCCUGCCACCUAUGUGCAAGACCUGGAUGGAGUUCCUGGCUCCUGGCUUCAGCCUGGCCCAUUCCUAGAUGUUAUGGUAUUUGGGGAGUGAACCAAUGGAUGGAAGAUCUCUCUCUGCCUCCUGCUGCCCCGCCCCUAUCUUUCCAACUCUCUUGUCACUUUGCCUUAAACUAAAAAGCAAAACAAAACAAAAUUGUAUAAUGUGUCCCUGUAAUGGUUCAUUUCUAUUCAAUUCAAAUUAACAAGUAUUUCUGAUCUCCAUGUGUACUGUGACAGGUUGUAGCUAAAGCAAAAAGAAGUGACUUAAACUCUCAGAAUCAGAACUCACAUUAACUGAGAACAUAUCAUGUACCAAAAGCUGUUAGACUUUUUAAUUAAUCCUUUAUCAGAGCAGAACUCUUAUUACCCUCAUUUUACAGAGGAGAAAACUGAGGCAGAUAGAGGCUGGGUAACUAAUUCUGGCGCUACCACUGUGUCUGCCUCAUGCUGACCUGAGCAUGUGUGAUUGGGUUCACUCACCAGGAAGGGCACUCUAGGAGAUAAGGGGCGUAGUUAGAUGCAUUGGAGUGCCAGGCUCAGCUUGAAAUGACAAAACCAACUUGGCUCAUGGUAAUUUCUCUUCUUUGUUUGAGCACAUUACUGACGUAAGCUAGAGAGCAGUGAGGCAGUAAGCCUUGCUAACCAAACAACCAUGCUGUCUACUCCAGGACAUCAUACAUCAACUGGGUUAACUGGGCCAGGACAUGCUCCAGGACAUCACACGUCAACUGGGUCAAUUGGGCCAGGACAUGCUCUUGAAUCCCCCCAGACACUGGCAGCCCCCCACAACAGCCUAGUUAGAAUAAUCUAUGAGUCAAGCAAGUCACACAAAUGAAAAUAUCCAUAUGGACUCCAACUGGCUGGGGUUGCUUUCUAAGCCUUUUAGCAAUUCAUAAACCCAAUUCCAAUAAAUAAUAAAACAAGUUGCAGCUGAAGUCUCUCUCACACUGUGAUGAAACAACUUGGAUGUAGAAGUAAAUAAAUCCUCUUUCAAAGCUCAUUAAUGUUUCCAGAAAACAUUCUCUGCAUCAGCUAAGCCACUGCAGCCAGUAAACAUCAGGGAGUUCAAUAUUUAGAGGAACAUUAAAUCUUUCAGGUCGUUAGGAGGCAAUUUAAUAGGCAGGUCCCCAACUGGUGGGCAGUCACCAUAGAUACAAACAUGGAUAAAUUUUUGCACAUAG